rnacentral:rRNA from 1 species
CCUACGGGUGGCUGCAGUGGGGAAUAUUGGUCAAUGGCGGAAACGCUGAAGCAGCAACGCCGCGUGGAGGAUGAAGGUUUUAGGAUUGUAAACUUCUUUUGUGAGGGAAGAAAAGGACGACAUCUCACGAAUAACCACCGGCUAACUCCGUGCCACCAGCCGCGGCAAUACGGAGGGUGCAAGGGUUAUUCGGAGUCAUGGGGCGUAAUGGGGGCGGAGGCGGGCUUGUAGGUCGGAUGUGAAAUGCUGGAGCUGAACUACAUAACUGCCGUUGAAACUAUGAGACUAGAGUGGAGGAGAGGUAGGUGGAAUUCUUGGUGUAGGGGUAAAAUCCGUAGAUAUCAAGAGGAAUACUGAUUGCGAAGGCGACUUACUGGAACAUAACUGACGCUGAUGCACGAAAGCGUGGGGAGCAAACAGGAUUAGAUACCCUUGUAGUC